rnacentral:rRNA from 1 species
GACGAACGCUGGCGGCGUGCUUAACACAUGCAAGUCGAACGGAAAGGCCCGGCUUUGGUGGGGUGCUCGAGUGGCGAACGGGUGAGUAACACGUGAGUAACCUGCCCUUGACUUUGGGAUAACUUCAGGAAACUGGGGCUAAUACCGGAUAGGAGCUCCUGCUGCAUGGUGGGGGUUGGAAAGUUUCGGCGGUUGGGGCUGGACUCGGGGCUUAUCAGCUUGUUGGUGGGGUAGGGGCUUACCAAGGCUUUGACGGGUAGCCGGCCUGAGAGGGUGAACAGCCACAAUGGGACUGAGGGACGGCGCAGACUCCUACGGGGGGCAGCAGUGGGGAAUAUUGUACAGUGGUGGGAAGCCUGAUGAAGCAGCGCCGCGGGCGGGAUGAAGGCCUUCGGGUUGUAAACCGCUUUAGCCUGUGACGAAGCGGGAGUGACGGUAAUGGGUAAAGAAGCACCGGCUAACUACGUG